UCUACCUGUCUUCCACUAUCCACCCAGAUCACCUUGUCUCCCGUCAUCCACCAAGAUCCACCUCUAUGUCACUCACCACCCGUAUCUACCUGUCUUCCACUAUCCACCCAGAUCACCUUGUCUCCCGCCAUCCACCAAGAUCCACCUCUAUGUCACUCACCACCCGUAUCUACCUGUCUUCCACUAUCCACCAAGAUCACCUUGUCUCCCGCCAUCCACCAAGAUCCACCUCUAUGUCACUCACCACCCGUAUCUACCUGUCUUCCACUAUCCACCCAGAUCACCUUGUCUCCCGCCAUCCACCAAGAUCCACCUCUAUGUCACUCACCACCCGUAUCUACCUGUCUUCCACUAUCCACCCAGAUCACCUUGUCUCCCGCCAUCCACCAAGAUUCACCUCUAUGUCACUCACCACCCGUAUCUACCUGUCUUCCUCUAUCCACCCAGAUAACCUUGUCUCCCGCCAUCCACCAAGAUCCACCUCUAUGUCACUCGCCACCCGUAUCCACCUCUGUGUCACCUCUGUGACCAUCCUGUCUUCCAUUAAGUAGGUACAGGAACUUCUAAGAGGAACAUUAACCAUUUUGUAAGCUUUAUAUGGCAACAAUGCUCCACACUGCAGGGAGUACUGCCAAGCGUUGGGCGAUAUUAAGCGAUCAUGUGAAUGGGUUUUUUUUGCACAUGUUCGUGACAAGAGUCACUGGUAUGGCAGAAUACCCUCGGUACAUCUGGUACCGUCAAUGUUGGACAACAAUUCAUC